UAACAGAGGGUGGCAAGCGUUGUUCGGAAUUACUGGGCGUAAAGCGUGCGUAGACGGGUAUGUAAGUCGGGUGUGAAAGCCCCGGGCUCAACCUGGGAAUUGCAUUCGAGACUGUGUAGCUAGGGUACGGAAGAGGGAAGCGGAAUUUCGAGGUGUAGCGGUGAAAUGCGUAGAUAUCUGAAGGAACACCAGUGGCGAAAGCGGCUUCCUGGUCCAGUACCGACGUUCAGGCACGAAAGCGUGGGGAGCAAACAGG
rnacentral:rRNA from 1 species